rnacentral:tRNA from 1 species
UCCCUGGUGGCUCAGAACGUAAAGCAUCUGCCUACAAUGCAGGAGACCUGGGUUCAAUCCCUGGGUUGGGAA